rnacentral:rRNA from 1 species
CUGCUAUCGGAUUGAGAUUUAGCCAUGCGAGUCGAACGCUUCCCUGUUGCGGGAGGCGUGGCGUACGGCUCACUAACACGUAGUCAACCUGCCCUGAAGACACUUAUAACCCCGGGAAACUGGGAUUAAUUCGUGAUAGGCCAUCUCAUCUGGAAGGAGAGAUGACUUAAAGGGAUGCGAGAGCUUCUUUCUUGUAUCCGCUUCAGGAUGGGACUGCGGCCGAUCAGGCUGUUGGUGGGGUAAUGGCCCACCAAACCUGUAACCGGUACGGGCCUUGAGAGAGGGGGCCCGGAGAUGGACACUGAAAUAAGGGUCCAGGUCCUACGGGGCGCACCAGGCGCGAAACCUUCACAAUGCGCGAAAGCGUGAUGAGGUUAAUCCGAGUGGUCCCCGCUGAGGGGAUCUUUUGUCGGCUGUAAAAAGGCCGGUGAAUAAGGGGAGGGCAAGUCUGGUGUCAGCCGCCGCGGUAAAACCAGC